rnacentral:rRNA from 1 species
GAGUUUGAACCUGGCUCAGGAUGAACGCUGGCGGCGUGCUUAACACAUGCAAGUCGAACGGUGAACACGGAGCUUGCUCUGUGGGAUCAGUGGCGAACGGGUGAGUAACACGUGAGCAACCUGCCCCUGACUCUGGGAUAAGCGCUGGAAACGGCGUCUAAUACUGGAUACGAGUAGCGGCCGCAUGGUCAGUUACUGGAAAGACUUUUUGGUUGGGGAUGGGCUCGCGGCCUAUCAGCUUGUUGGUGAGGUAAUGGCUCACCAAGGCGUCGACGGGUAGCCGGCCUGAGAGGGUGACCGGCCACACUGGGACUGAGACACGGCCCAGACUCCUACGGGAGGCAGCAGUGGGGAAUAUUGCACAAUGGGCGGAAGCCUGAUGCAGCAACGCCGCGUGAGGGAUGACGGCCUUCGGGUUGUAAACCUCUUUUAGCAGGGAAGAAGCGAAAGUGACGGUACCUGCAGAAAAAGCGCCGGCUAACUACGUGCCAGCAGCCGCGGUAAUACGUAGGGCGCAAGCGUUAUCCGGAAUUAUUGGGCGUAAAGAGCUCGUAGGCGGUUUGUCGCGUCUGCUGUGAAAUCCCGAGGCUCAACCUCGGGCCUGCAGUGGGUACGGGCAGACUAGAGUGCGGUAGGGGAGAUUGGAAUUCCUGGUGUAGCGGUGGAAUGCGCAGAUAUCAGGAGGAACACCGAUGGCGAAAGCAGAUCUCUGGGCCGUAACUGACGCUGAGGAGCGAAAGGGUGGGGAGCAAACAGGCUUAGAUACCCUGGUAGUCCACCCCGUAAACGUUGGGAACUAGUUGUGGGGUCCAUUCCACGGAUUCCGUGACGCAGCUAACGCAUUAAGUUCCCCGCCUGGGGAGUACGGCCGCAAGGCUAAAACUCAAAGGAAUUGACGGGGACCCGCACAAGCGGCGGAGCAUGGCGGAUUAAUUUCGAUGCAACGCGAGAA